GCCGGGCCUGGCUGGCCUCGCCUGUCAUCCCAGGGGCUGGGGAGGCUGAGGCAGGAGGAUCGCAAGGUGGAGGCCUCAGCCUCCACCUCAGCCACUCAGCGAGACCCUGUCUCUA
rnacentral:sRNA from 1 species